UAGCAUGCCACCUUGCUCUGUCCUGAGAGUUUAUGGGUCUACAUGAUGUAUUUUCAUGUCUCCAUGAUUAAAAAGUACCACCUUUACCCUUCUCAUAUCAUUCUUCAUUAUAAGACGCAGGUGCAAGCUGAUAUAACAUACGAGGAACUCCCCGCAGAAAUUCUCGAUUGGACCGAUAAGGGUUUAUGCAACAAGAGGAUCCCCAUGGUGAAGGUCUAGUGGAAAGGAUGUGUGCAUAGUGCGUAUGUCCUGUGCGGGCCGCACGCACACUCGUUGUGCGAUGCCAACAGGGUGGGUUUUUCCCGCGGGUUUCUGCCUCUUUUUA
rnacentral:lncRNA from 1 species